rfam:Ciona savignyi cont_32704, whole genome shotgun sequence.
ACUGGGUUGGCCGAGUGGUUAAGGCGUUGGACUUAAGUUCCAAUGGACAAGUGUCCGCGUGGGUUCGAACCCCACAUCCCAGUA